rnacentral:rRNA from 1 species
CCUACGGGUGGCAGCAGUGGGGAAUAUUGCACAAUGGGGGAAACCCUGAUGCAGCGACGCCGCGUGAGUGAAGAAGUAUUUCGGUACGUAAAGCUCUAUCAGCAGGGAAGAAAAUGACGGUACCUGACUAAGAAUCUCCGGCUAACUACGUUCCAGCAUCCGCGGUAAUACGGAGGGGGCAAGCGUUAUCCGGAUUUACUGGGUGUAAAGGGAGCGGAGACGGCAGCGCAGGUCUGGAGUGAAAUCCCAUGGCUUAACCAUGGAACUGCUUUGGAAACUGGGCAGCUGGAGUGCAGGAGAGGUAAGCGGAAUUCCUGGUGUAGCGGUGAAAUGCGUAGAUAUUAGGCGGAACCCCAGUGGCGAAGGCGGCUUACUGGACUGUAACUGACGUUGAGGCUCGAAAGCGUGGGGAGCGAACAGGAUUAGAUACCCCUGUAGUC